AUCCGUAACUGGUCUGAAAGGAUGAUCAUAUCACACUGGAACUGAGACACGGUCCANACUCCUACGGGAGGCAGCAGUGGGGAAUAUUGGACAAUGUNCGAAAGCCUGAUCCAGCCAUGCCGCGUGUGUGAAGAAGGUCUUCGGAUUGUAAAGCACUUUAAGUUGGGAGGAAGGGUUGUAGAUUAAUACUCUGCAAUUUUGACGUUACCGACAGAAUAAGCACCGGCUAACUCUGUGCCAGCAGCCGCGGUAAUACAGAGGGUGCAAGCGUUAAUCGGAAUUACUGGGCGUAAAGCGCGCGUAGGUGGUUAGUUAAGUUGGAUGUGAAAUCCCCGGGCUCAACCUGGGAACUGCAUUCAAAACUGACUGACUAGAGUAUGGUAGAGGGUGGUGGAAUUUCCUGUGUAGCGGUGAAAUGCGUAGAUAUAGGAAGGAACACCAGUGGCGAAGGCGACCACCUGGACUGAUACUGACACUGAGGUGCGAAAGCGUGGGGAGCA
rnacentral:rRNA from 1 species